UUUUCUCUGAAGUAGGCAUUGGGAUCUCAUUCAACAGUAUUCUCUUCCUCUUCCACAUCCUUCAGUUCAUUCUUAAACAAGGGCACCAGAUCACUGACCUGAUCAUCAGUCCCUUGAUCCUCAUCCACCUUGGGAUGCUAACAAUCAUGGGAUUCACAGCUGUUGAUAUUUUUGUAUCUCAGAAUGUGUGGACACAAUGACAUCAAAUCAAAUCCCUUGCCCACUUGCACGGGCUUUUGAGGGACCUCUCACUAUGUGCUACCUGUCUUCUGAGUGUCCUCCAGGCCAGAAGCUUCUGUUUGGCAAAGUUCAAAUAUAAAUCCCCACAGCACAGCCUGUGUUCCAUUUUUAUACUGUGCUCUUCUAUAUGUCCUGUGGUGCUUACGUCUCCUUCUCCAUUGUUGCUGACUACAACUUCUCUUCACAUGGUCUUAUAUUUGUCACUGAAUCCUGCAUUAUUUUACCCGUGGGUUAUAUUAUCAGGCACUUAUUUUUCAUAUUGAGGAUAAUUCGGGAUGUGUCUUUCAUAGGUCUUAUGGCCCUCUCCAGUGGGUACAUGUUAGUUUUCUUGGGCAAGCACAGGAAGCAGGCCCAGCAUCUUCACAGCACCAGCCUUUCUUCAAAGGCAUCCCCGGAGCAAAGGGUCACCCUUUGCUGCUCAUGAGCUUUUUUGGGUUGAUGUACUGUUUGGACUUCAUCAUACCCACCUCCCGACUUAUGCACAACAGUGACUCAGUCUGCCACAAUAUUCAGAUGAUGGUCUCUAAUAGCUAUGCCUGCCUCAGCCCUUUGCUGUUAA
rnacentral:lncRNA from 1 species